GGGAAAGCCGAGGCCCGGUGCUGUAUUCUGCCGCCCAUUUUACCCGCGGGGAAGCUGAGGCCCAGUGCUGUUUAAUAUCUUACUCAUGUUCACUUGAUGAGAAAGUGACAGAUCUGAGACAAACCCAGUUCUAGAGGUUAUGACACCAGCCAUGGAAGAGCAGAGAGGCCAAUGAGGUGGGGAGGUUGGAAACAAAAGGCCUUCUCCACCCCAGCUUGACCAACCCAAAAGCUGGAAGGCAAGGAAGACCUAGAUCGACAGAAAAGAAAUGAGUCAACGAUGGUGCAGAAAGGGACCAGCUUGACGAAGCUUCUGCUUUUGUGACUGUCUCCUAAUGGGAGAAGUGAAAUUCUACCUCACUUUUUUAAAAGAAGAGCCUGGAAUUGGCCUAUCCGUCUUUUUCCCCGUUGGAUCACAGAGCAGAAAGGAAGGUGGGCGUUUGUGUUCUGGGUGUUGUCCACGCUGGACGUGCCAGCAUCUCCCACUGAGCCAGAUGUUCCAGGGCUAAGGCCAGUUUCAUUUGAAGGCACAGCCUUACUAUAUCAUGUGAGAAAACUGUGAUGCGGUCGACUGGCACCUAGCAUUGCCCCCAUCUGGAACAUCUGCAGCCUAGAUCUGUUCUGAUGAAGUAGAAGCCGCAGAUCUUAUCCUGAAACAGGCCAGGUGCAAGUGUCCUCUUAGAAGGGAUCAACCAUGGGAUGCGGCAUUAAGAGAAGAGAGAAGGACAUCCUUACAACUGUGCCUUUCUUUCAACUCAGUCGUGCGCAUUAGGCUUGUAUCAGUUAAAGUGCAGGCAAGAAAUUUCAAGCAGAAAGGGAGUCAGGUGCUCAUAGCAUUGCUGGCAGAAUUGAGAGCAGCGGGAGCCAUGGGAUGGGGGUGCUGCCUGGAAAUCAGGAAACUGGAGAAGCCUGCUGGAACCUGCUGAGGAACCCAUCACUGCAGCAAGAGACUGAUGGUGGACUGCAGGGGCCAGGAAGGUGCAGGAAGCCCCUGCUGCUGCAGGAGAAAGGAUGAAGGAUGGUUAUCUUCCACCUUCCAAAUCUCACAGGAACACCUCUUCUAGGUGGAAUCCAAACCAGAUUCCUUCUGGAAAGGGAUUCUGGAAAGUGUAGUUCUUAUGCUUCCAGCCUCUGAGAUAAGCAAGGACAAUUGCUGGAGGCGAGGGUGUCGCUGAAUACCAAGGAAGGAUAGCAGGUGUAGUUGCCCACAUGGCCACUCAGCAUCCACAUGGACAUCCCACCCAUGUUAAUUUCCAAAGAGCCAUCACAGAAACAUCAUCAUGCUUCCUCACAAAGAAGAAAUGCUCACCUCCACCCCAAUAGAAAGGGUCCAGGUAUCCAUCUCUGAGUGAUGGUCACCCUCCAUAUUCAGUAAAAAACACCCUCGGAUAGACUGUGGUUGAAAGACUAAACCUUUAGGUUAGCCACAGUCAAUAUAUCUUAUAUAAAAUAAGAGAGGCGGGGAGAGCAGGGGAAAGAGAUACUGGGUUAUGUGUGUAAAAACAUACACAAUAAAGCAAACAAGAAA
rnacentral:lncRNA from 1 species